rnacentral:rRNA from 1 species
ACUCAAUAGAUACCCGGGUAGUCCACGCCGUAAACUAUGGAUGCUAGCUGUUAUCGGUAUCGACCCCGGUAGUAGCGAAAGCUAAACGCGUUAAGCAUCCCGCCUGUGGAGUACGAGCGCAAGCUUAAAACAUAAAGGAAUUGACGGGGACCCGCACAAGCGGUGGAGCGUGUUGUUUAAUUCGACGGUAAACGAAGAACCUUACCCAGGCUUGACAUCCUGCUAAGUUUUGCGAAAGCAAAAUGUGCCUUCGGGCCGCAGUGACAGGUGAUGCAUGGCCGUCGUCAGCUCGUGUCGUGAGAUGUUUGGUUAAGUCCAUCAACGAGCGCAACCCUUAUAGUCAGUUGAAUUUCUCUGGCUAGACUGCCCCGGUAACGGGGAGGAAGGAGGGGACGAUGUCAGGUCAUUAUUUCCCUUACGUCUGGGGCUACAAACACGCUACAAUGGCCGGUACAAAGGGCAGCCAA